AGAAGAUCUGCUGCAUCCUGUGGGCCGUGGAUUUGGUGAGUUGUUUCUCCCUGCUGCACGAGGAGUGUGUGAGCUGACCUCCAGCGGUAUAAGAUUUUGUGCCUCUGGAGUGUGGCAGUGAGGGGUCUGAGUGAUCUACGCCACGCCAGAGUUCCGUUCGAGAGGUCAUUGGAGAAUGUUAGCUUCGUAUUCUCAAAUUGUAG